GUGCUCACUUCGGCAGCACAUAUACUAAAAUUGGAAUGAUACAGAAAGAUUAGCAUGGCCCCUGCACAAGGAUGACAUGAAAAAAUAUAAGCAUAAAAUGUUU
ensembl:snRNA U6 U6 spliceosomal RNA